rnacentral:sRNA from 1 species
AGGCUGUACCAGAAUUAACUCUGCUCAGAGUUAGAUUUGCUGGUCUUAAAGUACUUUUCCUCUUCAAGAUAAAACUGGACCCUUGGUGCUACGUGGAGAUCCCUCUAGUUGUUGAUGGACAGCUUCCCAGGCCACUCCUCUCAGGAAGUUCUUCUAAAUCAGGAAUGGACUGAAAUCUAAUGAACCCAAACUUUGGGUGGUUGAAUUCAUAAAUGUGAAACACGCAGAUACAAAAGGCCAACUGUAUAUUUGUAUCCUGUAACAAUAUAUUGUUUGGUUAUAAUGUUUGUAAAUUUUACCCAUGGAUUCCUCUGUGACUGCUUUUUAUAUUUCUAAGAUUUACCCAUGUUGUUAUAUGUAACCAUAAGUUAUUCGUUUAUUUUUUCCCAAUGUAUGAAUGUACUUCAAUUUCCUUUCUUUCUUUCUUCCUUUCUUUCUCUCUCUCUCUUUCUCUCUUUCUCUCUUCUUUUUCUUCUUCCUUUCCUUUCCUUGUUUUUUUUUUGAGAUAGGGUCUCACUCUGUCACC